UCUUAUGGAUGAGCAAAAAUGUGGUUUCAUGAGACUGAAUCUAAUCCUGGUGAAGAUGUUGUGAA
rnacentral:pre_miRNA from 1 species